rnacentral:rRNA from 1 species
UACGGAGGGUGCAAGCGUUGUUCGGAAUCACUGGGCGUAAAGCGCGUGUAGGCGGUCUCUUAAGUCUGGUGUGAAAGCCCGGGGCUUACCCCCGGAAGUGCACUGGAGACUGGGAGACUCGAGUACCGGAGAGGAAGGUGGAAUUCCUGGUGUAGCGGUGAAAUGCGUAGAUAUCAGGAGGAACACCGGUGGCGAAGGCGGCAUUCUGGACGGCUACUGACGCUGAGACGCGAAAGCGUGGGGAGCAAACAGG